rfam:Serendipita vermifera MAFF 305830 unplaced genomic scaffold scaffold_142, whole genome shotgun sequence.
GCCCACUUGGCUAAGUGGUUACGGCGUCGCACUUGUAUUGAAAUGCGAAGAUCACUCGUUCAAAUCGGGUAGUGGGCA